ACAAUCAGAUACAAUAUCAGGGAUCUUCUGGUAAGGCUUCUGGCUACCAUUAGUUCUGAAUACUGAGGAUUUGAGGAGAAAAAUGGCUGUGAGUUUUGAAAUGUCUUUGAGAAUUACUUGGAUUUGUUGCCUGCUAAUUGGAGGGAUAACCUGUUAUCCUCCACCUAAAGGUAAUUAUAGAUAUAUUCCCCAAAAUCAAUUAAAAGGAAUUGGCCACAAUGCAGCGGUAGCUACCGGAUCCGUGCCUCGGCAGGUGAAGCA